GCCUGAUAACAAAUCUGUGUAGGUUGGCUCCUGCCUCCCAGAGGUCAUCCAACUCUCUGAUCCAUGCCUUCUCGAAGCAGAUAUCACAUCAAUCUUCUCUUCAUCUAUGGAAGAUGGCCACAUUAGAGAUUUUUCAGCAGUGUUAGAUUCAUUGCUCUCUGCAAAAUUGCCUCUCAAGGUCGAGAAUUCUUGACCUUGCAAGACCCUGGCAUAUCCACUUGGUGUUGGAGGGUCUACAGUUACUUUGGAUGAACCUUCUCUGGUAAGAAC
rnacentral:misc_RNA from 1 species